ACGAACGCUGGCGGCGUGCUUAACACAUGCAAGUCGAACGGUGAAGCGCCUUCCUUUUUGGUGGGUGUGGAUGAGUGGCGAACGGGUGAGUAACACGUGAGUAACCUGCCCCCUUCUUCUGGAUAACCGCAUGAAAGUGUGGCUAAUACGGGAUAUUCUGGGUCUGUCGCAUGAUGGGUCUGGGAAAGAUAUUGUUUCGGUGGGGGAUGGGCUCGCGGCCUAUCAGCUUGUUGGUGGGGUGAUGGCCUACCAAGGCGGUGGCGGGUAGCCGGCCUGAGAGGGUGGACGGUCACACUGGGACUGAGACACGGCACAGACUCCUACGGGAGGCAGCAGUGGGGAAUAUUGCACAAUGGGCGCAAGCCUGAUGCAGCGACGCCGCGUGAGGGAUGGAGGCCUUCGGGUUGUGAACCUCUUUCGCCAGUGAAGCAGGCCUGCCUCGUUUGUGGGUGGGUUGACGGUAGCUGGAUAAGAAGCGCCGGCUAACUACGUG
rnacentral:rRNA from 1 species